ACCCGCACAAGCGGUGGAUGAUGUGGAUUAAUUCGAUGCAACGCGAAAACUUACCUACCCUUGACAUGUACGGAACCCUUUAGAGAUAGAGGGGUGCUCGAAAGAGAGCCGUAACACAGGUGCUGCAUGGCUGUCGUCAGCUCGUGUCGUGAGAUGUUGGGUUAAGUCCCGCAACGAGCGCAACCCUUGUCAUUAGUUGCUACAUUCAGUUGGGCACUCUAAUGAGACUGCCGGUGACAAGCCGGAGGAAGGUGGGGAUGACGUCAAGUCCUCAUGGCCCUUAUAGGUGGGGCUACACACGUCAUACAAUGGCUGGUACAAAGGGUUGCCAACCCGCGAGGGGGAGCCAAUCCCAUAAAGCCAGUCGUAGUCCGGAUCGUAGUCUGCAACUCGACUACGUGAAGUCGGAAUCGCUAGUAAUCGUGGAUCAGAAUGUCACGGUGAAUACGUUCCCGGGUCUU
rnacentral:rRNA from 1 species